rnacentral:rRNA from 1 species
CGUGUAGGCGGUCAGGUAAGUGGGACGUGAAAUACCUCGGCUCACCCGAGGAGCGGCGUCCCAAACUGCUUGGCUUGAGUAUGGGAGAGGAUGUGGGAAUUCCUGGUGUAGCGGUGAAAUGCGUAGAUAUCAGGAGGAACACCGGUGGCGAAGGCGCACAUCUGGCCCAAUACUGACGCUGAGGCGCGAAAGCUAGGGAGCAAACG